GAGCUGGACCGGAUGAUCGCGGGCACAAGUGCUGAAAAGCCGUGCGUGAGGAAAGUCCGGGCUCCAUAGGACAAGGGUGCCGGGCAGUUCCCGGUGAAGGUAACUUUAAGGAAAGUGCAACAGAAAAGAAAACCGCCUCGGUCUUCGGACCGCGGUAAGGAUGAAAAGGCGAGGUAAGAGCUCACCGGCGGUGCGGUAACGUACCGGCCUUGUAAACCCCACCCGGAGCAACGCCAUGGAAAAGACAUACUGUGGUCCGCAGGUCUUUCAGGAGGCGGCUUGAGCCGGAACGAGAUUUCCGGUCUAGAUAGAUGAUCAUCCUCGACAGAACCCGGCUUACAGGUUCAACUCGGAA
rnacentral:RNase_P_RNA from 1 species